rnacentral:rRNA from 1 species
UACAGGGGGGGCAAGCGUUGUUCGGAAUUACUGGGCGUAAAGGGCCAGUAGGCGGCCAACUAAGUCCGACGUGAAAUCCCCAGGCUUAACCUGAGAACUGCGUCGGAUACUGGAUGGCUUGAAUUCGGGAGAGGGAUGCAGAAUUCCAGGUGUAGCGGUGAAAUGCGCAGAUAUCGGGAAGAACACCCGUGGCGAAGGCGGUUCUCUGGGACGGUACUGACGCUGAGACGCGAAAGCGUGGGGAGCGAACAGG